rnacentral:rRNA from 1 species
GAUGAACGCUGGCGGCGUGCCUAAUACAUGCAAGUCGAGCGAAUGGAUUAAGAGCUUGCUCUUAUGAAGUUAGCGGCGGACGGGUGAGUAACACGUGGGUAACCUGCCCAUAAGACUGGGAUAACUCCGGGAAACCGGGGCUAAUACCGGAUAACAUUUUGAACCGCAUGGUUCGAAAUUGAAAGGCGGCUUCGGCUGUCACUUAUGGAUGGACCCGCGUCGCAUUAGCUAAUUGGUGAGGUAACGGCUAACCAAGGCAACGAUGCGUAGCCGACCUGCGAGGGUGAUCGGCCACACUGGGAAUGAGACACGGCCCAGACGCCUACGGGAGGUAGCAGUAGGGAAUCUUCCGCAAUGGACGAAAGUCUGACGGAGCAACGCCGCGUGAGUGAUGAAGGCUUUCGGGUCGUAAAACUCUGUUGUUAGGGAAGAACAAGUGCUAGUUGAAUAAGCUGGCACCUUGACGGUACCUAACCAGAAAGCCACGGCUAACUACGUGCCAGCAGCCGCAGUAA